GGAUAACGUUUGGAAACGAACGCUAAUACCGCAUAAAAUAUCGGAGUCGCAUGGCACUGAUAUCAAAGGAGCAAUCCGCUGAAAGAUGGGCUCGCGUCCGAUUAGGCAGUUGGCGGGGUAACGGCCCACCAAACCGACAAUCGGUAGCCGGACUGAGAGGUUGAACGGCCACAUUGGGACUGAGACACGGCCCAGACUCCUACGGGAGGCAGCAGUGGGGGAUAUUGCACAAUGGGGGAAACCCUGAUGCAGCGAUGCCGCGUGAAUGAAGACGGCCUUCGGGUUGUAAAGUUCUGUCGCGGGGGACGAAAAUGACGGUACCCUGCAAGAAAGCUCCGGCUAACUACGUGCCAGCAGCCGCGGUAAUACGUAGGGAGCAAGCGUUGUCCGGAAUUACUGGGUGUAAAGGGAGCGUAGGCGGGAGGAUAAGUUGAAUGUGAAAUCUAUGGGCUCAACCCAUAGCUGCGUUCAAAACUGUUCUUCUUGAGUGAAGUAGAGGCAGGCGGAAUUCCUAGUGUAGCGGUGAAAUGCGUAGAUAUUAGGAGGAACACCAGUGGCGAAGGCGGCCUGCUGGGCUUUUACUGACGCUGAGGCUCGAAAGCGUGGGUAGCAAACAGGAUUAGAUACCCUGGUAGUCCACGCGGUAAACGAUGAUUACUAGGUGUGGGUGGACUGACCCCAUCCGU
rnacentral:rRNA from 1 species